UUAGAUAAUGGAGGGAACUCUGAUCUAGCGACGCCGCGUGCAGGAAGAAGGUCUUCGGAUUGUAAACUGCUGUGGUAAGGGAAAAAUGCUAUGUAGAGUGGAAAGCUACAUAGAUGGAUGGUACCUUACUAGAAAGCCCCGGCUAACUACGUGCCAGCAGCCGCGGUAAUACGUAGGGGGCGAGCGUUACCCGGAAUCACUGGGCGUAAAGGGAGCGCAGGUGGCCUAAGAUGUCAACUGUGAAAACCCGGAGCUCAACUGCGGACUUGCAGUAGAAACUAGUAGGGUGAGGGGCGGUGGGGGAAGACAGAACUGCCAGUGUGGGGGUAAAAUCCUUAGAUAUUGGCAGGAACGCCGGUGACGAAGGUGGUUUGCUGGGCCGGUUCUGACAC
rnacentral:rRNA from 1 species